AUUCCUAUACUUGUGCAUACAGUGGACACAGAGCAGGUAGGGAGCAGGGAUAAUAACAUUCCUCUACUUGUACAUACAGUGGACACAGAGCAGGUAGGGAGCAGGGAUAAUAACAUUCCUCUACUUGUACAUACAGUGGACACAGAGCAGGUAGGGAGCAGGGAUAAUAACAUUCCUCUACUUGUACAUACAGUGGACACAGAGCAGGUAGGGAGCAGGGAUAAUAACAUUCCUCUACUUGUACAUACAGUGGACACAGAGCAGGUAGGGAGCAGGGAUAAUAACAUUCCUCUACUUGUACAUACAGUGGACACAGAGCAGGUAGGGAGCAGGGAUAAUAACAUUCCUAUACUUGUACAUACAGUGGACACAGAGCAGGUAGGGAGCAGGGAUAAUAACAUUCCUCUACUUGUACAUACAGUGGACACAGAGCAGGUAGGGAGCAGGGAUAAUAACAUUCCUCUACUUGUACAUACAGUGGACACAGAGCAGGUAGGGAGCAGGGAUAAUAACAUUCCUCUACUUGUACAUACAGUGGACACAGAGCAGGUAGGGAGCAGGGAUAAUAACAUUCCUAUACUUGUACAUACAGUGGACACAGAGCAGGUAGGGAGCAGGGAUAAUAACAUUCCUCUACUUGUACAUACAGUGGACACAGAGCAGGUAGGGAGCAGGGAUAAUAACAUUCCUCUACUUGUACAUACAGUGGACACAGAGCAGGUAGGGAGCAGGGAUAAUAACAUUCCUAUACUUGUACAUACAGUGGACACAGAGCAGGUAGGGAGCAGGGAUAAUAACAUUCCUCUACUUGUACAUACAGUGGACACAGAGCAGGUAGGGAGCAGGGAUAAUAGCAUUCCUCUACUUGUACAUACAGUGGACA